rnacentral:rRNA from 1 species
GGGAUAGAAUUCCAGGAGUAGCGGUGAAAUGCGUAGAUAUCUGGAGGAAUACCAAAGGCGAAGGCAGUCCCCUGGUCCGAUACUGACACUGAGGUACGAAAGCGUGGGGAGCAAACAGGAUUAGAUACCCUGGUAGUCCACGCCCUAAACGAUGUCGAUUAGCCAUUGGAAGGACCCCUUUUCCUUUCAGUGACGUAGCUAACGCGUUAAAUCGACCGCCUGGGAAGUACGACCGCAAGGUUAAAACUCAAAGGAAUUGACGGGGACCUGAACAAGCGGUGAAUGAUGUGGAUUAAUUCGAUGCUACGCGAAGAACCUUACCUACCUUUGACAUGGUCAAAGUUCUACCGAGAGGCGGAAGUACUCGUAAGAGGAUUGGCGCACAGGUGCUGCAUGGUUGUCGUCAGUUCGUGUCGUGAGAUGUUGGGUCCAGUCCCGCAACGAACGCAACCCUUAUCUUUAAUUGCUCCUAUUUUAACAGGCACUUUAAAGAAACUGCCAAUGAUAAGUUGGAGGAAGGUGGGGAUCACGUCAAGUCCGCAUGGCCUUUAUAGGUAGGGCUUCACACGUCAUACAAUGGUUAGAACAAAGAGCUGCAAAUUCGUAAGAAGGAGCCAAUCUCACAAACCUAACCUCAGUUCGAAUUGCGGUCUGCAACUCGAGCGCAUGAAGCCGGAAUCGCUAGUAAUCGUGGAUCAGAAUGCCACGGUGAAUACGUUCUUAGGUCUU